UGAUCAGCCGGUACUCGCGAAUGCNAUCUAGUNAUUAGAGUUGAUCCUGGCUCAGGCCUGGAUCAUCCUCCUUAAAGUUUGAUCAUGGCUCAGAUUGAACGCUGGCGGCAGGCCUAACACAUGCAAGUCGAACGGUAACAGGAAGCAGCUUGCUGCUUUGCUGACGAGUGGCGGACGGGUGAGUAAUGUCUGGGAAACUGCCUGAUGGAGGGGGAUAACUACUGGAAACGGUAGCUAAUACCGCAUAACGUCGCAAGACCAAAGAGGGGGACCUUCGGGCCUCUUGCCAUCGGAUGUGCCCAGAUGGGAUUAGCUAGUAGGUGGGGUAACGGCUCACCUAGGCGACGAUCCCUAGCUGGUCUGAGAGGAUGACCAGCCACACUGGAACUGAGACACGGUCCAGACUCCUACGGGAGGCAGCAGUGGGGAAUAUUGCACAAUGGGCGCAAGCCCGAUGCAGCCAUGCCGCGUGUAUGAAGAAGGCCUUCGGGUUGUAAAUACUUCGAGAG
rnacentral:rRNA from 1 species